UCGUAUAAUACGUGUACACCUAACUGGCCUAUAUACCUUUCACCUAUUUUCCCGAAUAUCUCGCCUAUACAAUGCCCGAAAAAAUACAGACGUAGCGCGGGAAGCAUCGUUCGCCAAUAUUAAUUAAAGGCCUCUAACACUGCAGGAAAAUUUUAGUAGAAGAUUUAGAACUAUGUAUGUAUUUAGUUUUAGCGUUUGUUCCUGCUUUGAGGGCGUGAAAUGCCGUGUCAUUGUCCCUAAUAAGUCAUUGUCCCGGCAUUUCAAUUGUCGCCCAUAAGCAUGAACCAGGCCACCAACUCACAAGCUUACAUGCAACAACUAAAACCAGGCAAUACUAGCUACGCAAGCUAUGCUAGGACAAACUUUUGAGACGACCAGAGCAACAUGAAGUGGUGUCAAGCCGAUGUCCCCAAGCAACUGCUUUGCAUCCAUGUCACUAGAUUGGCGCAAUAGGUUGACAAGGUCGUCCAUAUGGCACCUUUCCUUGGACAAGGCAUCCUCCAAUUGGCGCGUGCACGCGGUAAAUUGACUUAGAUUGUUUGCCCUGGCAAACUUAUGUACUCCAAACUCAUCCACUGGACGAUGCUGGCUGUAUUUCUUGCGUGGGCGAUCUUGUCGCCGACGGGCGAUGUUGUCCAGGGCGUUCCGGUCAAACUCGUAGGCGCCGACCUCAUUACCGUUGUCCAUGGACAUUGUGUUGGAAGGAUACGUUAAGGUUCAGAUAAAAUGAAGAAAUGAAGAAGCGCUCCUUCAUAGUAUGGAGAUGGUAGAAUCUUCAAGCAACUUUUGAACGACCAGGGAGAGUUGCUGAUAGGCGAAUUUGCAUGAAGCUGUAGAAUUCCUUUAUUCUUUCAAGGUAAAUGAAUGCUUAUGUAUUCGUCCGUUAGUAGCGUGAAGCUUUGAACACUCUUUGUACGGCAGAUUCGGCACAAUGUUUUGCCUCAUUGCGAUGUUGCCUGAAAAUUUUGAACAGAAGGGAUCACUGCUCAUGCUGGUGCAGCAAGACAUGUAAGGAGAUGGCCUGGUCACAAUCCAGCAGUCAUAUAUCGACAAUCUCAAGCUAUGACAACUUGUUACAUGUGUCUGUAAUAAAAAAGGGACUUUGCGAUGGUGUGGGGAGCUCUUUGAGUGGUGGGACUNNNNNNNNNNNNNNNNNNNNNNNNNNNNNNNNNNNNNNNNNNNNNNNNNNUAGAUUUUUAUGCCGCUACCGCCUAACCCACGUUGCACGUAUCAACGUACCUGUGUACCAGAGAGCACAGGUACUCAGGGACAAGAAACAUGCCAUCGGCCGGUCAGGUCUCAGCCUUCCUUGGAUACAGGCCAUGGAAAAGGUUAAGAAUCUGCAAGGUCGGUGUAUGCAAGCUUGUAUUUUCCCAAAAUGUUGACCCAAUGGCAUCACACUAUAUGCAUGUCUUGCAUUUUUUUGCAAACAGAUGAAGCAGCCUGGGGCAUGGAGGGUGCAAAGUACCUGCAGCAGUGCCUUACAGAGCAGCUGGUGGCUGCCUGGGGCCCCAGGCAGCCCCCAGACACCCCCGGGGGUGUCUGCACAGGAUCUGGAUCAUGCCAAGGUAGGCUCGCUGGUUACAUAGGUUAAUGAUACAGUGCUAGCAGGUUUAGCAGUGAUAAUUUAGCUAGUUGUUGACUAUGCUAUGCAUGUGAACUUCACACUUGUAGGUUGUCAUCAGGCGUAUGGGAUGUCUUUACUACGCCCCACUUCACACCGUCACUUACAUCCGUGGUGGCGGCCUGGCUAAGUCCCUUUUCAAGACCCAGGCAUGCCCAGUGUGCGACAUUUCAAUCCUGAACAACGACACCCCAGGGGGCUAUGGUGUGUGGUACGGACGGGUAGGCAAAUGGAGGUUUGGUUUCCAUUCGUUGUGUGUAUGUACUUCAGUUCUCUGGAGUUUGCUCAUAUGUGCAUGGCCCUUGUGUGCAGGUGCAGCUACUGCUCAGCGUACUCUACAAAGACAAGGUAGCAGAUGUGGUGUAUGUUAAGUGGUUUGAGACCUGCAGCACUCCGACAAACUCGAACAGAAAACCGCACAGCAUGCACGGCUAACAGAGGAACUCACGAAAGCAGGCUGGACGGUGCACUACACCGAGGCGCAAAUUGUCACCCUGGGAAGUACUGGGACUCUAACCAACACACUAAAACCGCUACUAUGCAGACUCGGCUCGUCCGCUGAGCAGGCCCAGAAGACCUGCCUGCACCUCCACCGGCAAACAAUCGAAGCAGCGGGCACGAUUAUCCGGGCGCGGCGAGUAAUGGAGGGUACAGUCAAGUAACAGGUACAACCCGAACGGUUUCCCACGGUGGUGCGGGCAUACAGGAGCGGCUACGCCGCCCCUCAGUUCCCCACCCCCUUAACACACGCCAGGCCCCGGCCGGCGUACUAUUAUUAUUAUUAUUAUUAUUAAGUGGUUUGAUGCUCCAGAAGAUGAAUGGAACCGUGAACUGAAUCUCCGUCCGCUGCGAUGGCAGAGGUAAUAAAAGUAGUUUACACACAGUCGUAAUUUCAGUUGUAUACCUCCCUCUCUUGCACUAACACUAACCAUUGAUUGUCCACACAACCUCACUUCCAGGGUGACUGGAAAACCAGCAGCAGCUUAUGGGUGUAUCCCAUUUGAGACCAUUAUCAAGAGAGUGUGCAUUGUUCGGAUCUCCCAAGUUAAAGUCAAACGUACACGUGGUUCCUCCAGCAGAAGCAUGGAUGAUGUGGAAGAGUCCAUGGGCAAUCCAGUUCCCACAGCACAAUUUGUGCUCAACGAGCUCAAUGGCGGCCCACCCCAUGGCCUUUUGCCAGUCGUGUUGGAGGAUAUUGCUGAAGAAGUCAGGCAGCAGUCUCAAGAGAGUGAAAAGCGAAGCUUGCGCCCAUCAGAAGUGCGGGCACUAUUGGACAAGCUUAUGGCCAUCGAGGAAUGGGAGCAAUGGGAGUCUGGUUGCGUGUGGUCAAAAGAUGAUGACACAGAUGAAGUUUCAUCAGACGAGGCGUAGCAAAGACGUCCUGGAUAAUAACGACCGGGUAGAGGAGGAUUGAUCAAUUGGGGCUCAUGGGAGUAGGAAAUGACUGUUUGUGUUGUGCUGAUAGUGUCAGAGAAUUUAUUCUGUUAAGUGUUUUGGUUGUGUUUUGGAGUUGCAGCAUUAAUAGGCCAGAUAACAUGUGGAUUAUUCAUUUAGUAAAGCAGACUGAGGGAUUGUGGGCUGAGAGCUGAGAUUCCUUGUGUGAUGUGUGAUAGUAACGUAUGAAGAGUAUGUGAAAAUUGUAAUCCCCUGAGCUUCUAUGCAUCCCAUAUAUUUCUGUACACAAAUGACACAUGUAAACAACAUCCUGGCAAGUAUACAGNNNNNNNNNNNNNNNNNNNNNNNNNNNNNNNNNNNNNNNNNNNNNNNNNNAUCACAUGUAGACACAUCUGUAUACCAGUCAUGUUUACCACAUAGCCUAAACAAGGUCAGGUAUAGGCUGUCAUGUAAAGGCCAUUGCAUAUUACGUGAUGCCUAUAGCGGUCUUGUAAUAGGCGCUCAUGUACACACGCAGCUGUAUAGGCACUGUUGUUUACAACAUUACCUGUAGACGCAUGCAUAUACCUGGCAAGUAUACACCACAGCCUAAACAAGGUCAGGUAUAGGCUGUCAUGUAAAGGCCAUUGCAUAUUACGUGAUGCCUAUAGCGGUCUUGUAAUAGGCGCUCAUGUACACACGCACCUGUAUAGGCACUGUUGUUUACAACAUCACGUGUACACAUAUCUGUAUAGCUUGGAAGUAUACCGCAUAGCAUAAAGAAGGUCAGGUAUUCUACAUAUAUACAGGGUCCUCUAUUAGGCAAACAUGUACAUAUGUCCCUCUUUAGGUCUGGGCCUUUAUUUCUCGUAUAAUACGUGUACACCUAACUGGCCUAUAUACCUUUCACCUAUUUUCCCGAAUAUCUCGCCUAUACAAUGCCCGAAAAAAUACAGACGUAGCGCGGGAAGCAUCGUUCGCCAAUAUUAAUUAAAGGCCUCUAACACUGCAGGAAAAUUUUAGUAGAAGAUUUAGAACUAUGUAUGUAUUUAGUUUUAGCGUUUGUUCCUGCUUUGAGGGCGUGAAAUGCCGUGUCAUUGUCCCUAAUAAGUCAUUGUCCCGGCAUUUCAAUUGUCGCCCAUAAGCAUGAACCAGGCCACCAACUCACAAGCUUACAUGCAACAACUAAAACCAGGCAAUACUAGCUACGCAAGCUAUGCUAGGACAAACUUUUGAGACGACCAGAGCAACAUGAAGUGGUGUCAAGCCGAUGUCCCCAAGCAACUGCUUUGCAUCCAUGUCACUAGAUUGGCGCAAUAGGUUGACAAGGUCGUCCAUAUGGCACCUUUCCUUGGACAAGGCAUCCUCCAAUUGGCGCGUGCACGCGGUAAAUUGACUUAGAUUGUUUGCCCUGGCAAACUUAUGUACUCCAAACUCAUCCACUGGACGAUGCUGGCUGUAUUUCUUGCGUGGGCGAUCUUGUCGCCGACGGGCGAUGUUGUCCAGGGCGUUCCGGUCAAACUCGUAGGCGCCGAC
rnacentral:lncRNA from 1 species